AUUGAACGCUGGCGGCAUGCCUUACACAUGCAAGUCGAACGGCAGCGCGGGGCAACCUGGCGGCGAGUGGCGAACGGGUGAGUAAUAUAUCGGAACAUACCCUAGAGUGGGGGAUAACGUAGCGAAAGUUACGCUAAUACCGCAUACGCACUAAGGUGGAAAGUGGGGGAUUCGCAAGAACCUCAUGCUCAUGGAGUGGCCGAUAUCUGAUUAGCUAGUUGGUGAGGUAAAGGCUCACCAAGGCGACGAUCAGUAGCUGGUUUGAGAGAACGACCAGCCACACUGGAACUGAGACACGGUCCAGACUCCUACGGGAGGCAGCAGUGGGGAAUUUUGGGACAAUGGGGGCAACCCUGAUCCAGCAAUGCCGCGUGAGUGAAGAA
rnacentral:rRNA from 1 species